UGAUGGUGGCUGCUUCUGCCGUCAGGGUGGGGCCUUCUCAGCUUUCCGAGCCCUCAAAUGGCAGGGAUCAGAGGCCCUGCAGAUUCCGCUAUCCCAGCCCCCCAGACACGGUGGCGGAGCUGGGAGUGUCAUCAAUCUACAUCUGAGACCACCCUGGCUUUCCCCUCAGCCGCGGUGGGGACAGGCAGGCCGAGCGGGGCAUGAAUCACUUGGCUCCGGGAGCCCAGCGCCGCUGGAGGCUGGAGGACAGCGCCUCGCCCGGACAAUCGUCUCCGCUGUGUCCCUGAUGCCACGCAUUUGCAAAUAUGCUUGGAGGCUAAGGGACGCUGGGUACAUCUAAUAAAUAAUGCAAAAUAAUUAAUAGCCCCAGCAGCCUGGAGACCACGCCUAGCUGCUACCGAACCAGGCUUUUGAGAACCAACUGCUCCAUUCCCCUCCGAUUUCAUCCUGGAAAUCCCUGACUGCAAAGUCAGCCGCGCAUGGAUCUUUCUGAACUCAACAAGAACGAAAGGCAGAGUUGCACAUGUGUCCCCCCCAGAUUUGACUGGAAUUUCACAUGGAUAAAAAACAGGAUAUUUCUAAAACAAAGUGCUCUCAUUAGCCGCACGUGCCCAGCCCGUUCAGGGUCCAACGUGGGAGGUUCCCUAGGACCCACUGCAAAUGAGGAGCGACCCGAGUCCCAGCAAGCUUGGGCCCCUGACAGAGCAAGGCCCCGUGAGUCAGCAACUGCAUGCUUGAGGCUGGUGCACAUCCCCUCCUCUAAUGCCCAACAGAGACUGAGACUUGGGCAUCCCCAGGUUCAGACCCAGUCCAGCCCACCGGUCAGUCACGUGACCCUUUCAAAGUAAAGUUACACCCGACGCAAACCAACAACUUGAUGCUCAGGGAAAAGGGGAGGGCAGGAGAGGGAGCACCUGGGUGUGAAAAUGUUCCCGGGCCGGUUCUGGGGACCAAACACCCCCCUGUCACCUAGGUACCAUUUGGGGAGACAAAGAAGGCUGGCUCUCUCACAGGUCAGGUGAUUUCAUGCAAUGAAAAGACGCCACGUGGGCCUUGCCUGGUUUUUCUGCAAAAAAUGCCUGGAGUCGGCCAUCAGCUCUGAAAAGUCACCCUACAGUCUGUUGGCCCCCAAAUCACACAGGGUUACCGGGAUCCGGAAGGGACCCUGUUCUCCUCCACAUGCCUGCCUGUUCAGGGACUUUUCAUGUCCACCAAAAAGUCAGCCCCACACUACAGGACCCGCAGAGGCUUGCAGCCCAAAUCUGCCUUCUCUCUGAGCUUCACGGCAAGGACUUCCUGACCAUCAUAUGGGACCGUGAACUCUGCCGGAGAGGGUGGAACUUCCCAAAGUGACCAGACAAUGGGAGGGGGCUGACGGGGGCGGCAGGGGAGUCUGCAGUGCUGCAGCAUGGGUCGGGUCACAGAGGCCUGUCCACAGGAGCAUGAGGUCACAGAAGUACCUUGAAAUCAUGGGGCCAAUCGACGCAUUUUCCUAACGGGGACACCGAGUCACAGGGAGUGAGAGGACCACCUGGGAAACACGGCAGCGGAGGAAAGGCGGGGCUGGAGGCCAGGGCCUCUGGAUGCUGAGAUCUGGCCUUCGCGUCACUCCACGUGGCUCCUUCCCAUUUGCAGCCAGUCCCGGUCCCUGUGAACCACUUCGGGAGCCCCUGUAGCAGAGGCAGCCAGUGCUGACCAGUUCUGCCCAACAUACCCUCCAGGAUGCUCAGAGUGACUUCCCGGGACUCAGCCAGGUGUCACCCUCAGUCCCUGCAGGCUGAGUGAGUGACCGGGGAGCUGUGAGUGAUGUGGGACUCCCACCCAGAGCUGACCUGGAGCUGCUGGUGUCGAGGGGAGGGGUCAGCGACUGGGGCCUGGCUGUUCUCUACCACUCCCAACCAAACACGGCAAAUCACAGUGAUAAUGAAUAAUAAA